AGAAAAAUGUUGAUGCUAUCAAGGUAUGCAGAUCAUAAUGCUCAUAUUCAAAUUGAAUGAUUUAAUAGCGAGGAGAAAAGGUAUUUGGUAUUCUUCAUAGAUAGAGGAGCAUAGUUGGAGUUGUUUCUAUGCAAGUCUUCUGGUGCAUCCAUGUGUCACAGACAAAUGCUUGUCCAGAACGCUGUGCUGUGCAAUCUGUUUCAAAUGAAGUGUGUAAGAGUAGAUACAAUGCAUAUGCUAUGAGCCUUUAACCUUUGGAAAUUUAAUUUCCAAUUAUCUUAGUAAUGUUUUCUUGAAAUUUACUCCACCUGCCAUUUACUUGGGGUUCUAAUGUUGGAUUUUGAUUUUCGUUGUUUAUAGGCAAUAGUCACAAUUGCUGA
rnacentral:misc_RNA from 1 species